GACAGAGGGUGCAAACGUUGUUCGGAAUUACUGGGCGUAAAGCGCGUGUAGGCGGCCAUGCAAGUCGGAUGUGAAAUCUCAGGGCUCAACCCUGAAACUGCAUUCGAUACUGCGCGGCUAGAGUGCUGGAGGGGAGACUGGAAUUUACGGUGUAGCAGUGAAAUGCGUAGAUAUCGUAAGGAAGGCCGGUGGCGAAAGCGAGCCUCUGGACAGUUACUGACGCUGAUGCACGAAGGCCAGGGGAGCAAACGGG
rnacentral:rRNA from 1 species